AGGCAAGUAGAGCUGUAGGUAGAUGCUGACUACAAGUUACAAGAUAUGAAGAAGAUUUAUAAAGACUUGAAACUUACAGGGAAAGGAUACAAGAAAAAACUCAACGAUUUGCUUAUUGCUCUGUCAAAGCAUAUUGAGUAAAUUCAGAAAGACUUGGUGGACCCGAAAAAGCUUCAGGCAACUCUAAGUGAUGAAACUCUUGGUCAGACUUGUGAUCGAUCUGAAGACAGCUCUUGAGACAGUUUCACUUCUAGAAGCUCAACUGAAAGAGAUGAACCCAAAUUUUGACUCGAUCUCUAAGUAGCGGAAGAAAGUAUCUGUGUACAAUGAAAGAGUUCAAAAGCUUAAUUCUGUUACUCAAGAGCGCGAUGAUAUUAAAAAAUAAUAUGAUGAGUAGAGGAAGAGAAGGUUGGAUGAGUUUAUGGCAGGUUUUAAUACCGUAUCUUUGAAGCUUUAAGAAAUUAUCAGGUAUUCAGCUCAGUUUUGACUUGCUUUUCUUAUCUAAAAAAUUUUCCCAUCUAAUUCUCAAGUUAAAUUUCAUCUGGGUA